GGGUCGUUAGCUCAGUUGGUAGAGCAGUUGACUUUUAAUCAAUUGGUCGCAAUCCUGCACGACCCACCA
rnacentral:tRNA from 1 species